AAAGUACCUAUAAUAAAGUAACGUAGUAAGUAAAAAGUUACAAGAUAUAACAGACAAUAAGAUUUAUAUAGGCUUUUGAGGCAAAAGAAGGGAAAAAAGAAGAUUUCUAUGAAAAGCAAAAUGAGCGUUUUCAAACAAUUAUAGUCAUAGAUGCUACAAUGGACACGUUAAGGAUAAGACAGAUAAUAAUUUUGUGAGUAACAAAGACUAGGUAUUGGUUCAGCAUAAUUCCUGAAACUCACUAGUUUUAUUUUUAAAUGUUUACCAUGCUGAAGUCUGAGAAAAGAUAAACUUUUCUGAAGCUCUGGCUGAGGAGGGUGAUAUUAUCUCAAAGUAGAAACUUACAUUCCUGCUUACUUAAGAUUCUCUUUUCUUAGAAAUGGAAGCCAGUUAAUCUGUCUGUAAAUGCUUCCUCUGUUGGCAUUGUGGGGAGUAGGGCACACCCCACAGGUGACUCCCUUUUUCCCUGUGUCAGCUGUGUUCUGUCUCCUCAUCCCCUUGCCUCCUGCCCUCAAUCAUUCCGCAGCCUAGCUUGAGACCCACCUCUUUUUCAGCACUUGGCAGCCACAGAGCUGUUUUCCUUCCCUGAUCUCCUUCAGUUCUUACUGUCUUUAUAGAAAUCUUAACACGUGUUGCUUCCAUUGUUAAUUUUUCAAGUAUAUAUUUGUAAACUGCUUGAAGACAGAACAAUACAGAACAAUAUCCCUCUGUUAGAGAUGCUCAAUAAAUACACGGUGCUUGACAUCCAAGUUUAUCCUCACAAGUAUCCAGUUUAUAUUAGCCCUUCUGAAUGAUAUUUUUCCAAAACAUUUUCUACACUCCUCUUACAAUAGGGAAACACAAAGUUAAUCCCAAUAACUCAGACAGUCACUAUGAGAAUUAAUUUUUAUGCCAAGUUGUGACACAGUAAUUUCUCUCCCUCCCUCCUUCCCUCUAUCUCUGCAAUCACUCCUGCAGUCAGUGGCCCCUGCCUCUAUCAGUCUUCUAAUUUUCCAAGUGUGGUUCUGUGAUUUGGAAAACAAAACAAAAUAAAAAGCAAAAAAAACUCAA